rnacentral:rRNA from 1 species
AUUGAACGCUGGCGGCAUGCCUUACACAUGCAAGUCGAACGGUAACAGGUCUUCGGAUGCUGACGAGUGGCGAACGGGUGAGUAAUACAUCGGAACGUGCCCGAUCGUGGGGGAUAACGAAGCGAAAGCUUUGCUAAUACCGCAUAAGAUCUACGGAUGAAAGCAGGGGACCGCAAGGCCUUGCGCGAACGGAGCGGCCGAGGGCAGAUUAGGUAGUUGGUGGGAUAAAAGCUUACCAAGCCGACGAUCUGUAGCUGGUCUGAGAGGACGACCAGCCACACUGGGACUGAGACACGGCACAGACUCCUACGGGAGGCAGCAGUGGGGAAUUUUGGACAAGGGGCGAAAGCCUGAUCGAGCCAUGCCGCGUGCAGGAUGAAGGCCCUUGGGUUGUAAAGCUCUUUAGCGAGGGAAGAGGGUUGUUAUGGUGAAUAAUCAUAGCAGCUGACGGUACCUCGAGAAUAAGCACCGGCUAAUUUCGUGCCAGCAGCCGCCGUAAAAC